UCAUAGCUUGACUUUGGCUAUUAAAUUCUCUUCCUUCCUUAACUUACACAUGCAAGCUCCAGCAACCCCGUGAUUAGGCCAUUAUUAUCUCAGCAGAUUAAUCCUGAAUUAAAUCUAAUAAUGGCUUACACUAAACUAAUUAAAAAUGUGCAAGUACCCUCACGCCUGCAGUGAUGAACUCUGAGGACCAUUACAACAGUAAGACCCGGAAAUGGAAAACAAGGGCUGAUUAAAUUCGUGCCAGCAAUCGCGGUUAAACGAUGGGCCCUAGAGAAUUCAGUCGGGAAUAUUCCUAGGACAUAAACCUCCUAUCCAAGAGGUCCAAUUUGUCAAUAUCUUAACUACUCCAUUAAGUCCUCGCCUUAAAUGAAAGCUCAGACCAAAACAAGGAUUAGAUACCCUUUUAUCCUAAGCCCUAAAUCUAGCCCGGGGAGUAAAAGCACAUGCUCGAAACCUAAAAAACUUGGCGGUGCCCCAUCCUACCAGGGGAACCUGUUUCAUAAACCGAUAAUCCACGAUGUAACUAACCUAAACUUGAUCUCAGCCUGUGUACUGCCGUCGCAUGCUUACCUUGCAAAAGUUUUAGUAAGCAAAUCUGAUUAAAUCACCUACGUCAGGUCGAAGUGCAGCCUAUGUUUAGGAGACAAUGGGUUACAUUUUGAAAAGUCCGUAUAGAUUCAAUAAUUUACAUCUAAAAGUAGGACUUGGUAGUAUAUACAAACUAAUAUGUUAUAUAGAAUGAGGUAAUCUGGGGUGUGCACACAUCGCCCGUCGCUCCCGCCGAAAGGGGGGAUAAGUCGUAACAUAGUGGGUGUAACGGAAGUUGUACCUCAAGGUAA
rnacentral:ncRNA from 1 species